UAAAAGGGUUUCUGCUGUGAAUGGCACAUGGGUGAGGUCUACGGGCUUUAUCCGUGCGGAAUCGAUAUCAAGAGAUUUCGGAAGCACAAUUUUUGCCAUCUGGAGCUGCUGGUGAUCGUUUGUCCUGGCGCUCCG